CGGCUGCCCUACAAAGGUCUGGCCCAGCCUUCCCUUCAGAAGUACCCAGGACACAUGACAUGGCAAUGGCAGCAUCUCCCCAGGCACGUUCCCCAGCCCCCACCCACGGGACCAGGUUGAAAACUCUAGACUUGAAAGCUGUCCAAGACGACAAAAGAACUGUAUGACUAACUGGAGAGUCUCAUCUUGCAAUAAUGUGCCUUUUGUUGCUGAAGUCUUUCCAACCACAAGUUCAGAAAGGACUGUUUCUACCUGAAAUCUACUCAUUUAGUGGAACAACUGUGGAAGCAGCAUCCCUGGAGAGUGUGACAG